rnacentral:rRNA from 1 species
AAUAGAUACCCGGUAGUCCUGGCAGUAAACGGUGCACGCUUAGUGUGGGAGGAAUCGACCCCUUCCGUGCUGGAGCUAACGCGUUAAGCGUGCCGCCUGGGGAGUACGGUCGCAAGAUUAAAACUCAAAGAAAUUGACGGGGGCCCGCACAAGCGGUGGAGUAUGUGGCUUAAUUCGAUGCAACGCGAAGAACCUUACCUGGCCUUGACAUGCAUCUCUAAGUUGGUGAAAGCCAGCGAGUGUAGCAAUACACAAUUUGCACAGGUGCUGCAUGGCUGUCGUCAGCUCGUGUCGUGAGAUGUUGGGUCAAGUCCCGCAACGAGCGCAACCCCUGUGAUUAGUUGCCACCGAUCCGAGAGGAUCGAGCACUCUAGUCAGACUGCCCUGUGAAACGGGGAGGAAGGUGGGGAUGACGUCAAGUCAGCAUGGCCCUUACGGCCAGGGCUGCACACGUACUACAAUGCCCGGUACAGAAGGAACCGAAACCGCGAGGUGGAGGAAAUCACAAAAACCGGACCCAAUUCGG